CACAAAAAAGGGGAUAACCAAGCAUCAUAAACAAGCUUAUUGAAAAGUGCAGUCCUUCCGUGGGUGUAUCUUAGUAUGCAGGUGAAAACUGCUCAGGUUCCUUCCGCGUCUGUUUAACACCAAACAAGCUACAGACUGUGUGACACCUAGAGGGACAUGAGUGUCGUGUGAGAAAAUAUUGCACUUACGUAAGGAAAUGGAAGGGAAUCGCCAGGCCCACUCGUACGAGUGCGCGUUAGCCAACAGUCACCGAUGGCACAUAAUAGGGGUAGUAACGGCAAAGCCCCCCCCCCCCCUCCCCUUGGGCGCCAGACAUAUUAUCGGCGUCAAUGGAAAACUGGUGUUCGAAGGCCUAUAUUGUGAAGUUUGAACUCCAUAUGGAAUAUCAGACGGUGGAUUACGCUGGGAUCAAUGGUGCCCGCUCCACAGAGAACAUAGCCACCCGCACCCUCAACGAAAAUAUGAGGAUCGAAUCUAACCGAAUGGACACAUUCACCAACGGCAACUGGCCCAGUAGAGCAAGUGUUCGACCCAGAGACUUGGCAAGAGCUGGUUUCUACUAUAUAGGCACGGGGGACCGGGUACAGUGUGCCUUCUGUGGAUUGGUACUAAGGGAUUGGGAACAAGGUGAACAAUCCGUCUUGCCCAUUACUUUGUGGAACUGAAGUUGGGAACGUCCCUCAGGAAGUGCCAAGCGUCGCAGCCACUACCUCUUGAUGUUUCAGAAUCACAGGGUCAAGCUGUGGGAAGAAACAUGACAGGGUUAGAAAAUGCCACAGCUGGACACAAUCAAGACGGACCCAGACACAAGGAGUUUUUCACCGCAGACGACAGGGUUCGGUCCUUUGUUAACUCGCCGACAUCUUGUAAUCUGCGUCCAGACACUCUUGCCGACGCAGGGUUCUAUCACAUUGGCACUAGUAACGACGUGAGGUAUUGCUACUGUGACGGAGGAUUGGGCCAUUUGGACCCUAAACAGGAUCCGUGGGUCGAGCAUGCGCUUACUUACCCACGUUGUGGCUUUGUUCGCCAGUGCAAGGGGGACGCAUUUAUACAAAGGACAAAGAAACAUCAUUCGCCAAACAACACGGUAAACACAGUUAAUCGCAUCAUUUUAUAUGACGAAGAUAGUAACAACAAAUUAUUUAGCAGUUACAUAUAUAUUUUUUUUUAUCAAAGCAACACUGAAUUGAACGUUACUGUAGGAGUAUGUGAAACUUGAGUAACGUGUACACUUUGUUCAUGUACAUGUAUAUAUGGUCACUGGACCAUCUGUUGGUGCUUACUUUGCUGGCAGCAACUGUCACUUACUGCCUCUGGCAGCAUCUUCUUUUCCACUGGUCAUAAUUUUUUCAUUAUCCUUUCUCAUAUUUAAUUUUUUUUUAUUGGAUAUAGCCCCCCUCAG